GACGAACGCUGGCGGCGUGCCUAAUACAUGCAAGUUGAGCGCUGAAGGUUGGUACUUGUACCAACUGGAUGAGCAGCGAACGGGUGAGUAACGCGUGGGGAAUCUGCCUUUGAGCGGGGGACAACAUUUGGAAACGAAUGCUAAUACCACAUAAAAACUUUAAACACAAGUUUUAAGUUUGAAAGAUGCAAUUGCAUCACUCAAAGAUGAUCCCGCGUUGUAUUAGCUAGUUGGUGAGGUAAAGGCUCACCAAGGCGAUGAUACAUAGCCGACCUGAGAGGGUGAUCGGCCACAUUGGGACUGAGACACGGCCCAAACUCCUACGGGAGGCAGCAGUAGGGAAUCUUCGGCAAUGGACGAAAGUCUGACCGAGCAAGGCCGCGGGAGGGAAGAAGGUUUUCGGAUCGUAAAACUCUGUUGGUAGAGAAGAACGUUGGUGAGAGUGGAAAGCUCAUCAAGUGACGGUAACUACCCAGAAAGGGACGGCUAACUACGUG
rnacentral:rRNA from 1 species